rnacentral:rRNA from 1 species
GAUGAACGCUAGCGGCGCGCUUGAUCCAUGCAAGUCGAACGGACUCACGAUCUUCGGAUAGUGGGUUAGUGGCGAACGGGUGAGUAACACGUUGGUGACCUGCCCCUGAGUGGGGGAUAACUACUCGAAAGGGUAGCUAAUCCCGCAUGAGCUCCGUCAUUCGGUUGGCGGAGGAAAGGCCUCGGCCGCUCGGGGAGGGGCCUGCGGCGGAUUAGCUAGUUGGUAGGGUAAUGGCCUACCAAGGCGAUGAUCCGUAGGGGGCGUGAGAGCGUGGCCCCCCACACUGGCACUGAGACACGGGCCAGACUCCUACGGGAGGCAGCAGGAAGGAAUCUUGCGCAAUGGGCGAAAGCCAGACGCAGCGACGCCGCGUGGACGAUGAAGGUCUUCGGAUCGUAAACUCCUGUCCUCGGGGAAAAAGGAAGUGAUGGUACCCGGGGAGGAAGCCCGGCUAACUCCGUG